UAUUUUUUUAGUAUAAGAGUAUAGAUGACUUCCAAUCAUCAGGUUUUGGUUUAAAUCCAGAAAAAAAUAA
rnacentral:tRNA from 1 species